rnacentral:tRNA from 1 species
AAUAGAGUGGCUGAGAUAAAGGCGGUGAAUUGUAAAUUCAUGAACAAGUAAGACUUCUUUAUUA